rnacentral:tRNA from 1 species
GCCUCUGUAGCUCAGUGGUUAGAGCAUCUGCCUUGUAAGCAGAGGGUCGCAGGUUCGAAUCCUGCCAGGGGCU